GCGGGUGUGGUUCAAUGGUAGAACGCGAGCUUCCCAAGCUUGAGACGAGGGUUCGAUUCCCUUCACCCGCUCCA
rnacentral:tRNA from 2 species